rnacentral:rRNA from 1 species
AGAGUUUGAUCAUGGCUCAGAUUGAACGCUGGCGGCAGGCUUAACACAUGCAAGUCGAACGGUAGCAGGAGAAAGCUUGCUUUCUUGCUGACGAGUGGCGGACGGGUGAGUAAUGCUUGGGAAUCUGGCUUAUGGAGGGGGAUAACGACGGGAAACUGUCGCUAAUACCGCGUAUUAUCGGAAGAUGAAAGUGCGGGACUGAGAGGCCGCAUGCCAUAGGAUGAGCCCAAGUGGGAUUAGGUAGUUGGUGGGGUAAAUGCCUACCAAGCCUGCGAUCUCUAGCUGGUCUGAGAGGAUGACCAGCCACACUGGAACUGAGACACGGUCCAGACUCCUACGGGAGGCAGCAGUGGGGAAUAUUGCGCAAUGGGGGGAACCCUGACGCAGCCAUGCCGCGUGAAUGAAGAAGGCCUUCGGGUUGUAAAGUUCUUUCGGUAUUGAGGAAGGUUGAUGUGUUAAUAGCACAUCAAAUUGACGUUAAAUACAGAAGAAGCACCGGCUAACUCCGUGCCAGCAGCCGCGGUAAUACGGAGGGUGCGAGCGUUAAUCGGAAUAACUGGGCGUAAAGGGCACGCAGGCGGUUAUUUAAGUGAGGUGUGAAAGCCCUGGGCUUAACCUAGGAAUUGCAUUUCAGACUGGGUAACUAGAGUACUUUAGGGAGGGGUAGAAUUCCACGUGUAGCGGUGAAAUGCGUAGAGAUGUGGAGGAAUACCGAAGGCGAAGGCAGCCCCUUGGGAAUGUACUGACGCUCAUGUGCGAAAGCGUGGGGAGCAAACAGGAUUAGAUACCCUGGUAGUCCACGCUGUAAACGCUGUCGAUUUGGGGGUUGGGGUUUAACUCUGGCGCCCGUAGCUAACGUGAUAAAUCGACCGCCUGGGGAGUACGGCCGCAAGGUUAAAACUCAAAUGAAUUGACGGGGGCCCGCACAAGCGGUGGAGCAUGUGGUUUAAUUCGAUGCAACGCGAAGAACCUUACCUACUCUUGACAUCCUAAGAAGAGCUCAGAGAUGAGCUUGUGCCUUCGGGAACUUAGAGACAGGUGCUGCAUGGCUGUCGUCAGCUCGUGUUGUGAAAUGUUGGGUUAAGUCCCGCAACGAGCGCAACCCUUAUCCUUUGUUGCCAGCGA